rnacentral:misc_RNA from 1 species
CCUCCUUAUACGAUUUAGAACUUAUUUGUUCGUAGUGUCCACACAGAUGAUUGUUAGUUAGUAAUGCUCUUUGAGUUUACUAAUUAAUAUGCUCUUUAAAAAUUUGGAAAAGCUGAUAAUAAAAUUCGUAUGAAUAACAGUGUUAUUUGUACAGAGUUUUCAAAAGUAAAAAAGAAUGAUAGCAGUAUCAUUCAGUGCCAAUUUAAUCAUUUAUGAUUAAUUGGUAUCUACUUUAGUAUUCAAUAUUAACUUCUGGCGAAGUUAAACUGUCACUAACAAAGACCCGUUUGGGUUGUAUGGUUAAGUGACUAAGCGUACACGGUGGAUGC